UACGUAGGGUGCGAGCGUUGUCCGGAAUUAUUGGGCGUAAAAGAGCUCGUAGGCGGUUUGUCGCGUCUGCUGUGAAAACCCGAGGCUCAACCUCGGGCCUGCAGUGGGUACGGGCAGACUAGAGUGCGGUAGGGGGAGAUUGGAAUUCCUGGUGUAGCGGUGGAAUGCGCAGAUAUCAGGAGGAACACCAAUGGCGAAGGCAGAUCUCUGGGCCGUAACUGACGCUGAGGAGCGAAAGCAUGGGGAGCGAACAGG
rnacentral:rRNA from 1 species